rnacentral:rRNA from 1 species
GACGAACGCUGGCGGCGUGCUUAACACAUGCAAGUCGAACGGAAAGGCCCUGCUUUUGUGGGGUGCUCGAGUGGCGAACGGGUGAGUAACACGUGAGUAACCCGCCCUUGUCUUUGGGAUAACUUCAGGAAACUGGGGCUCAUAUACGAUAGGAGCUCCUGCUGCAUGGUGGGGGUUGGAAAGUUUCGGCGGUUGGGGAUGGACUCGCGGCUUAUCAGCUUGUUGGUGGGGUAGUGGCUUACCAAGGCUUUGACGGGUAGCCGGCCUGAGAGGGUGACCGGCCACAUUGGGACUGAGAUACGGCCCAGACUCCUACGGGAGGCAGCAGUGGGGAAUAUUGCACAAUGGGCGGAAGCCUGAUGCAGCAACGCCGCGUGCGGGAUGACGGCCUUCGGGUUGUAAACCGCUUUCGCCUGUGACGAAGCGUGAGUGACGGUAAUGGGUAAAGAAGCACCGGCUAACUACGUG